UUGUGACUUAUUUUGAUUACUUAGUUUGGAUAGGUUCAUAUUACCGGAUGAGGGUGUAUGUAGACCUAAUUUAUUUAUUUUGUUCAGUAUUAGUUACCAUUGGAUCCAAUAAUUUAGUUUAUUUAGUAUUAGUAAGAAUUGGUCCAUAAAUUUGCCUGAUCGUUCUUCUUUGGAUAUACUCCUAUAUAAAUCUGGUGUCCAUUGAUAGUCCGAUUCUGGAUAAGUGUCCGAUUCUUCAUUUAUUUUGUGUAUUUGGUUGGAUAGGUUCGUAUUACCGGAUGUGGGUGUACGUAGACCUGAUCUGUUUAUGUGGUUUAGUAUUGGUGUGAAUUGGUCCAUAAAUUUGCCUGGUCGUUCUUCUUUGGAUAUGCCUUUUAUGAAUCUGGUGUCCACUGAUAGUUCGACUUUGGAUUACGUGUCUGAUUCCACAUUUAUUUUGGUUAUUGAGUUUUGGAUUCCUUUGGUAUGUUUAUUAUUGGUAUUAUUUGGCAUUAGUGAGAGUUGUUCCAUAAAUCUUCCUGAUUGUUCUUCUCUGGAUAUACUAUUAUGAAUCUGGUGUCCAUUGUUAGUUCAAUUUUGGAUUAAGUGUUCAAUUCUUUACUUAUUUUAGUUACUGAUUUUUUUAUUCACUUUGGUACGUUUACUUUUGGUAUGGUUCGAAUUGGCUCACACCUUUUCCUGGUUGUUCCGUCCUUGGAUAUAUCCUUUAUAAAUCUGAUGUCCAUGGAUAGCUCAAUUUUGGUUUUAGUGCCCAAUUCGACACUUAGUUAUUAGUAUGAACUUUAGUACAAUAUUUAGUUUGUUUGGGUUUUGAGCAAUAUAUGUUAAUAUUUGGUAGCAGAGAGUAACAUAGUAACAUUUUAGUAUGAAUUUGAGUCAUAUAUUUAUUUAUUUUUCCUUGAUCAGUAGUUUAUAUUUAGUCGUAAUCUUGCGAAUCAACGUGGAUUGUUAGACUAUGUAUUGCAAAGUUAGUUGUUAUUAUUUUGAAGUUUAGAAAAAAAAAAUUUCUUGGUAAAAUUUUUUUUCCCGAGUAGAAGGGGAUUGUAACGGUCACGUUACGUGCUCUUUUCUUAUUUGCUCUAAAAAUUAGCUCUUUAAUUAUUUUUAUAAUUAUUUUCCCUCGGUCUCUCAUUUAAAUUGUCUAAUUUCUCGUAUAGGACUACUGAGGUGACGUCAUCCCUCGGUGAUGGAACGUACUAUGUACGCCACCUAUCGAGAAUUAGUUCGUGUUCUGAGAGAGUUUGACGUUUACCUUGUCAGAGAAACGGAUUUCACUCGAGACUCGACUUUUGUGCCCGGAAUAGGUCGGUCAGCUGUGUAAGCUGCAGUACCCGAAAUGGCGGGUUGAUAAUUUCAAUUUUAGUUAGUAAAGCCUUUUAGUUCACCAGUGAGAGAAAAAUACCCCUUGUGUUCUGGAGUAGGGAUUGAAGUACUUCGAUGGAACCUCACUAAAAUCAAUCCGCCUUUUGGGGAAAUAAUAUAAAGCGACAUGAGAAAUCAUAGACCCUCACCCACCUGAGAGGAACCUAUUCCGGCUACAUAGUCAGUCACCUGGGAGCAAGCGAAGCGUUCCAGCUUCAUUUUCUGUCUACAGCUGUGCUUACAGGAAGCAUGGUUUGGCACUAUCCUCGUGCUCAUUUUCUGGGAACCUUUUGGUUAUACAUUUGAGGAAUGGAUUAGUUUGGGAACACUCAGUUUGGUGAUUUGAGUAACUUUUGUUUUCUAUAUUUCGGACUUUUGGUAAUGCACUAUGUUUAUUAAUUAUUUUUUUCAGAUUUAGCGUACCUUUGUUUUUAUAUGACAUAUUUGUAUAUUAUUGUAUUUAAUUCCCAAACUUUGUAUCUACGGUAACUUCUUGUGCACAGGAAUAAGCCUAGAGAAAAUUAGGUUUUUAAUACUUUAUUAUUGCUUUGAUAUUGGUUUAUGUAAUUCGGGUAAAUUUAUUUUGUAAUAUUACUUGCUUGUUUCCCAAAUAUGUUAUUUAUUCGCUUUAUUUCAUUUGUUCAGUUAAUUCGUCGCUACUUUAUUUUAUUGCAUUUGCUCGGGUAAUUUAGGUCAUCGUUUCGGUAUUUAUCUUAGCUUCAUUUUUACAAUUUUUAUUAAUGCAUUUGCUUAAUUCAUCAUGGUAUUUUCCCUUCGCCAGGCUUGUGCCUAUUUAUUUAUAUUACUUUUAAUAUUCAUCGGUUUUCAAUUCAGUUGUACGUAGCAAGCGUACUAUAACCAUUUGGUAAAGAGGACUCAUGUGAGUUGUACCCUAUAUGUUAGUAAGAGGUACUUAUACCUUUAAGUUUUGUAACAGGUAACAUUAUUAUUAUCUUAGACAAAUAUAGCUUUUAUAUAACAUAUGUCAUUUUAGAGUCACAUUAUAUUUAAUUUGUCUAACUCAGAGAUUGUUAAAAAUCUGGUAGUUAAUUUUAAUAAAUGUUUAUUUAUUUUGUA